CUCAUUUCAAAAUGGAGAUCAUGGCCUUACGCUCUUCUAAGCUAAGGGCAAUGGCAAGACAGAAGGUUAACCAGUUAAAUAUUAGGGUCAAAACAUUUCUGAAACAUCAGCUGUCUCCCACUGUGACUCAGUCCCUAAAUCAACCUCAAGUGUGUAAUAUGGAAAUCACUUCCUGGCUGGGCUCUCCUCAAGGCGUUUUACGCAUCUAGGUGAGACUGAUACAGCUGGCCUAAGAACCUCACUUUGAAGAUUUAGGACCUAGAGCAGUGGGCUACACACUGGAAACUCUUGGGGAGCCUGCCAAAUACCAAGCCUUGUCCAGCCCCAAACCAAAGGGAUCAGCAUUCUGUGGGGAUAGGGACCAGACAUCCAGUGGAGAAUAACCCCCCCUGGGCUGAAGACCUUGGCUGUGUAAUUUGGGACAUCCUAUCUCAAAGAGGAAGUAUGGGAGGAGUUGGACGGCUCCCAGACUAAGCAGAUGGCAGCUGCAGAGGAAAAUUGUGAGCGAAGCCACAGCUGUGGGACGCACGGGGACAGUGUGUGCAGAGGAUGAAGCCCCAGGGUGGGGACGCUGGACAGCAAGACAGAGGUUUCUCUGGAAGGAGAGGUGAAAGAGGCCCAGAAAACAGAAGAGUAGAACAUCUGUGGUGAGAUGCUCAGUAACGAAUCAUGUCUAGGAGAUUCCAAAGGCCCGGCCCCCAGCACUUCUUUGGACACAGGGAAAGGCACCACAGCCCCAUAAACAACCAGCUCUGGCAGGGGCAGUGGGCCCUUAUUUAAAAAGUUGUGUGUUGGGGUGCCUGGGUGGCGCAGUCGGUUGAGCGUCCGACUUCAGCCAGGUCACGAUCUCAUGGUCCGUGAGU